rnacentral:rRNA from 1 species
CGGCGGACGGGUGAGUAACACGUGGAUAACCUACCUAUAAGACUGGGAUAACUUCGGGAAACCGGAGCUAAUACCGGAUAAUAUAUUGAACCGCAUGGUUCAAUGGUGAAAGACGGUUUUGCUGUCACUUAUGGAUGGAUCCGCGCCGCAUUAGCUAGUUGGUAAGGUAACGGCUUACCAAGGCAACGAUGCGUAGCCGACCUGAGAGGGUGAUCGGCCACACUGGAACUGAGACACGGUCCAGACUCCUACGGGAGGCAGCAGUU